rnacentral:rRNA from 1 species
UACGGGGGGGGCAAGCGUUGUUCGGAAUUACUGGGCGUAAAGGGCGCGUAGGCGGCCUGCUAAGUCGGACGUGAAAUCCCUCGGCUCAACCGGGGAACUGCGUCCGAUACUGGCGAGGCUUGAAUCCGGGAGAGGGAUGUGGAAUUCCGAGUGUAGAGGUGAAAUUCGUAGAUAUUCGGAGGAACACCAGUGGCGAAGGCGGCAUCCUGGACCAACACUGACACUGAGGAGCGAAAGCCAGGGGAGCAAACGGG